CCUACGGGAGGCUGCAGUGAGGAAUAUUGGUCAAUGGACGAGAGUCUGAACCAGCCAAGUAGCGUGAAGGAUGACUGCCCUAUGGGUUGUAAACUUCUUUUAUAUGGGAAUAAAAUGUUCCACGUGUGGGAUUUUGUAUGUACCAUAUGAAUAAGGAUCGGCUAACUCCGUGCCAGCAGCCGCGGUAAUACGGAGGAUCCGAGCGUUAUCCGGAUUUAUUGGGUUUAAAGGGAGCGUAGGUGGAUUGUUAAGUCAGUUGUGAAAGUUUGCGGCUCAACCGUAAAAUUGCAGUUGAAACUGGCAGUCUUGAGUACAGGAGAGGUGGGCGGAAUUCGGGGUGUAGCGGUGAAAUGCUUAGAUAUCACGAAGAACUCCGAUUGCGAAGGCAGUUCACUGGACUGCAACUGACACUGAGGCUCGAAAGUGUGGGUAUCAAACAGGAUUAGAUACCCCUGUAGUC
rnacentral:rRNA from 1 species